UACGAACCGUGCGAACGUUAUUCGGAAUCACUGGGCUUAAAGCGCGUGUAGGCGGAUGGGAGCGUCGGAACCUGAAAGCCCCCGGCUCAACCGGGGAAGUGGGGCCGAAACGACCCGUCUGGAGGGACGUAGGGGGAUCUGGAACUUCCGGUGGAGCGGUGAAAUGCGUAGAUAUCGUCAGGAACGCCAAUGGUGAAGACAGGUGACUGGGCUAGAUCUGACACUGAGGCACGAAAGCGUGGGGAGCGAACGGG
rnacentral:rRNA from 1 species